CAGCAGCCGCGGGAAAACGUAGGUGGCAAGCGUUGUCCGGAUUUAUUGGGCGUAAAGCGAGCGCAGGCGGUCAAUUAAGUCUGAUGUGAAAGCCCCCGACUCAACCGGGGAGGGUCAUUGGAAACUGGUUGACUUGAGUGCAGAAGAGGAGAGUGGAGUUCCAUGUGUAGCGGUGAAAUGCGUAGAUAUAUGGAGGAACACCAGUGGCGAAGGCGACUCUCUGGUCUGUAACUGACGCUGAGGCUCGAAAGCGUGGGUAGCAAACAGGAUUAGAUACCCCGGUAGUCCCUGUCUCUUAUAA
rnacentral:rRNA from 1 species